CUGGCUCAGACUAGGAACAUUGAAUGGAUUAGUGAGGUGGUCGUUGUAAUCCAACUGCUUAAUUGCUUGCUCCUUCUUGCUUUACAAUAUCCAGGAUGCAGGAUCUUUAAUGAAAACCUUUAUUCGGUAUAGCAGCAAAAAAAAGACAGCAGCAGUAAAAAUUAAAAUUCAGCAAUUCCACCUCUGCACACUAACGCGUUUCAGCCAAAGUACCACACUUUGAUAAAGGCUUUGGCUGAAACGCGUUAGUGUGCAGAGGUGGAAUUGCUGAAUUUAAAUUUUUACUGCUGCUGUCUUUUUUUUGCUGCUAUACCGAAUAAAGGUUUUCAUUAAAGAUCCUGCAUCCUGGAUUUUGUAAAGCAAGAAGGAGCAAGCAAUUAAGCAGUUGGAUUACAACGACCACCUCACUAAUCCAUUCAAUGUUCCUAGUCUGAGCCAGCUUCCAUAUUAAGUGGCUCAUGAAUAUGUGAGUUUAUUCAAGUAUUUACUCAUUCAUAUAAUAUUUGUACGUUAUUACCCUAUGCCUGUUU